rnacentral:rRNA from 1 species
AAAGACAUUUAUACAAAAGAAAGACGAUUAGACCCUAUUGAACUUAACUGUAGUUAAACUGGGSCAGUAAAUUAAUUAUUAUUUUAAUAAAAUAUUUUAUAUAAAUAUCUAAUAGAAUUAAAUAAUUCAGUUACCAUAGGGAUAACAGCGUAAUAAUUUUCUAAAGAUCUUAUUUAAAAUAUAGAUUACGACCUCGAUGUUGAAUUAAUAACCUAAUUAAGGCAAAACUUAAAAAAGGAAGUCUGUUCGACUUUUAAAAAAUUACAUGAUUUGAGUUCAGACCGGUGUAAGCCAGGUCGGUUUCUAUCUUCUAAAAAAUUUUUUACAGUACGAAAGGACCUAAAA